GAAGAAAGAGCAAGCAUGUAGCACAGAAAGUGGAAAUACCACAGGAAGUAAAAACUAGAAAAGAACCUUUUAACAUUGAGGUUGAUGCCUAAGAAAUAUUUGGCAAAGAUAAUUGGCGAGGAGAAAUAGACAAAAGUCUUUCUUUCCUUUCCAGGUCAAACCAACUCCCUCCUAACAUCUGAGAGAUGCAGAAGGUAUUGCCCACAGUAUGGGCUCCUUUAGACAUUUGGAAAACCUUGGCUUUCAGCUCCCUGUCAUGAAUGAACCAAGGAUCAAAAUGCAUCAGCAAGUGAUUGAAAUAUCCAUGUCCAUAAAGAAGAGAAUCACUUUCCCUUGGACAGAGCUUGACAAAGUGUUUAUGGCAUGGGAGAGACAGAGAGAAACAAUCACACCAUCAUUGGAUGAGAUGACAUCAUGAUUCUCACCAUAUUCCUGAUGCCACACAUGAUACCUGACAAAUGGUAAGCCACACUAUGGUUGUUGAAUGAAUGGAUAAAUUCAUUAAUGAAGUUCUAUAGUAAGAGUACAUAAAACGUGAUAUGGGACCAUGGAGGAAACAGUGGGCUAUUUUUGAGUAGAGAGUCAGAUAAUAUUUCACAGAAAAGGUGGCAAAGAACGGUUGAGAAACAACUGAAGCAAAGGGAGCAGCAUUUGUAAAGUCAUGUUCAUAGAAAAGUGAAUCUUUCCUUUAUCUCGAGCUGUGGAGGAAGAAGGCGGUGUUGACCUCUAUUUUAGAAUGGAUUAUCAUAUAGGGAUCUUUUUUUAUC
rnacentral:lncRNA from 10 species